rnacentral:rRNA from 1 species
GACGAACGCUGGCGGCGUGCCUAAUACAUGCAAGUCGAACGCAGUGGGGACGGGUGAGUAACACGUGGGUAACCUCCCAUCAGAGGGGAUAACACUUGGAAACAGGUGCUAAACCGAUAUUGAUGGCUGGACCCUCGGUGCAUUAGCUAGUUGGUGAGGAAACGGCUCACCAAGGCCACGAUGCAUAGGCGACCUGUGAGGGUGAGCGGCCACACUAGGACUGAGAACAGGCCCAGACUCCAACGGGAGGCAGCAGUAGGGAAUCGUCGGCAAUGGACGAAAGUCUGACCGGGCACCGCCGCGUGGGUGAAGAAGGUUUGCGGAUCGUAAACGUCUGUUGUUAGAAAAGCGGUAUCUAACCAGAAAGCCACGGCUAACUACGUGCCAGCCGCCGCGGUAAUAC